CAAAGUCUGUCAUGUUUCCAUUUAGUGACCACAAAGCAAAUAUUUGUGACAAAAUGCCAUAUUUGGAACACUGCCUAACUGCGUAUUGUGAACGGGUCCCCGGAAAAGUGUUAUGACAAAUGUUUUUUUUUUUUUUUUGGUUAGGUACUACAAGAAAGACAUUGAAGAAGUUUCAACACCAGGAAAAAAGAGGAAAAAAAGGCCACAGGAAGGAAAGUCACUUGACACAGUCGACGAUUUCACAGUAAAUGCAAUCAGGAAUGCAAUUUACAGGAUGUACGCUGAAGGUUUGAAUGUUACAGUCGACACCAUUUUGAAAGAAAUCAGGGAAAGACAAAUAGAUUAUUAUGGUGGAAGAUCAAGUCUUCAUAAAUUGUUAAAGAAGAUGGGAUUUUCAUGGACAACUGUUGAUGGACGAAAAGCUUUGAUAGAGAAUGAAAACAGUAUUGCAGCGAAUAGAUUUCUUGAGAAAGUAUAAAGAAGAAAAAGAAAGAGGUGCCAAUUUCAUAUUUGUUGAUGAAACAUGGAUUUUCCAGAGAGGCAAGGCAUUAAUUUAUUUGAAAAUUUGUUCUGUGGUCCAAUACAAAGUAUUUCAUUUCCAUUUCAUAUAUUUUUCAGGAACUGUAUCAAAGUCAUGGCAGGACAAGAGUCUACAAUCUGCGAAGAGACGUACUGUUGGAGAUGGUAAAAGGUUUAUUGUUGUUAAUGCUGGAGGGCGCACUGGCUUUGUGCCAGGAGCAGGAUUACUUUUUGUUUCAGGUCAGAAGACUGCAGACUACCAUGGCGAGAUGAAUGGGGAAACUUUCUUGAUGUGGUUUGAAGACAUGUUGGUGCAUCUUGAGGAACCCAGUGUCAUCAUAAUGGACAAUGCUUCAUAUCACAGCACCCAGGUUGAGAAAACACCUACAACGAACUGGACCAAGGAUGCACUG